rnacentral:rRNA from 1 species
UACGUAGGUACGAGCGUUGUCCGGAAUUAUUGGGCGUAAAGAGCUCGUAGGUGGUUGGUCACGUCUGCUGUGGAAACGCAACGCUUAACGUUGCGCGGGCAGUGGGUACGGGCUGACUAGAGUGCAGUAGGGGAGUCUGGAAUUCCUGGUGUAGCGGUGAAAUGCGCAGAUAUCAGGAGGAACACCGGUGGCGAAGGCGGGACUCUGGGCUGUGACUGACACUGAGGAGCGAAAGCAUGGGGAGCGAACAGGAUUAGAUA